UACGAAGGGGGCUAGCGUUGUUCGGAAUUACUGGGCGUAAAGGGCGCGUAGGCGGUACUUCAAGUCAGGCGUGAAAGCCCCGGGCUCAACCUGGGAACCGCGCUUGAGACUGGAGAACUAGAGUUCGGGAGAGGAUGGUGGAAUUCCCAGUGUAGAGGUGUAAUUCGUAGAUAUUGGGAAGAACACCGAUGGCGAAGGCAGCCAUCUGGACCGACACUGACGCUGAGGCGCGAAAGCGUGGGGAGCAAACAGG
rnacentral:rRNA from 1 species